AGCGCCCGCCUACCCCAGACAGUGGCAGCCAAUCAGCUUUCCGAGCGCUUCAUUGUGUCGACCCACUGUCCAAUCAGCGGCUUUCAAAUCCGCAAGUAAGCCAAUAGUAAGCGAAUACUGCCCCUCCUGUUUUACUGCAGAAUUCCGCGUCUUGCUACCCGCAGCAUCGAGAGUCUAGGCUGAAAUUUUGUGUAACGGACGAACAAGGUGAAAUGCCUGAUAACAGAGGUAAAGAAAGAAGAAAAAGCUCAUCCGUGCACAUCGUAUGUGUCAGCACUGCAGGCUCCAUGUCUGCUUGACUGGAGAGGAGAGGAGACAUCUUUUUUUCGAUUGAACCAGAAAUGAGAGAGAACAACACUGGCUCAACGAUGAAAGAGUUUGGCCUCUCCUUGGUUUCCACAGGCCUCCUCCACCCUCAACCAUCACCUCUUUAAUUGCUGGAAGCCUCUCUUUCUUCCUCAGUCACAGCCCAUGCCCCUCAUCUUCUCCUCCCCCUCUGCCAGUUGGUCCAUGUUUCCCACUUUCACGGGCGCCUGAACAGUGCCACUUACCAUGGAGCCUACGCUUGUGCCUUUCUCGUCCUCCUGCUCCCCCAUCACACAGCGUGUCCUUCUGGCCUGGUGUUGACAUUAUGGUAAGGCGUGUGUGCAACAUACUCACCAACCAAGCUAUCAGCAUACAGCCAAACAUGCUCAUCAUUGUCAUACACAUGAUGAUGAUGAUGAGUCUCCUCCAGGUUUGUCCAGCAGAUCAAGUUGUUAGUGACUUAAAAUAAGCACUUCAGAUGACGGUACAGUUGCAUGUUACCAUCCGUUUGGAGUACCAAGAGACAGGGUCACUCAGCAAAUCACUUUCCUGCAACUGAGCUCAGUUGUUGCCUCCAACCCCCAUCUUUUCUCUCUCCACCAGAUUCUCUCAAUCCCCGUCUUCUUCUCUAUUUUUAACCAGCUUAGCAGGCCUGAAGGCAGGGCAGGUUUAUUCUCUGCCUUCUUGUUACCUGGCUGACAAUUCAGAAAAGUCUGAUAAUCCUAUAACUCUGGAAGAGCUGAGAACACUUGCAGCUUGCCCAGUAACACUGCAGUCCAGCCAAAAAACUGUUUCCUAGUAGAAAGAAUGAGUUUAUUUAUAAGGUAUUUGAUCUACAGGAAUACUUGGAACCUCCAUUCCAAACUACGGACGUCAGUAAUCAGUGGCAUUUACAGCAGAGAUGGCACAGAUCAGCUCUAGUGGACAUGAUGGUAUAUAUGGAGUAAGUAAUUUCAAUCCAGUAUCAGUCAAAAUGUCAAUUAUAUGCCACAACCCUAUUUAAAAUGCAGGAUCUGCAAGAGCUCAGAAUUAGAUGUGUGCGGGGAAAAAAAGUCAAAAUUAGAAUUAUACCCAAUAAUGGAUGGGAAUUUUUUUCACUUAACUAACAAAAGUGACCAACUUCAGUAUGUGUUCAGUUUUUUUUAACUGCAGCAUCAAUCCACAGUGUAGCUAUGGAGCAAUCUGCAGAGUCAUAGUAGGCUGAUCAGGCCUCACCUUCAUAUGCAGCACCAUGACACACAGCUAAUACAGAUAAGCUUGGAGACCAAAUGUUUCACACAUGAGUGCACAAGGUAUAUAAUCCGGAAAUUCUACAUCUGCAGGAAAGCAUGUUUGGAUCCUUCCAUGUGGUGAGUGUACUGGAAAUAAAUUGCCCUGGUCUACAAGUGAACUUUGUGUGCAGGAGGCCUGUUUGUAUAGAGAAGGAAGAAAUGAGCUUUAGAUGAGUCAGACAAGAGAAGGGAGGCUGGGUACAUCAUGAAUACAGGCACUGCGAUGCUCACUGCACUCCCGCCAUUUCCAUUAAUGACCUCUAAUGGCAUGGAGUGACGAUGGUUUUCGCAGCAACAGAGUGCAUCCGUUUCUAAUAGAUGGUUUCUAUAUAAUGCAUGUACAUGUCAAAUGCUGCUGUAAGGUUCAUUGCUCUUAUUCUGGGCUCACACUCCUCCCUUGUGGUGAAACAGUGGAACAACAAAUGCAAGAGCUUAAACACCAGCAAGUGUAUUUGGAUUAAAUUGAAACAUUUUUAUUGAAUCAAUCGGUUCAAAAAUACAUUUGUAGUUAAAAAGAUUAAAAUGUCAUAUUUCAAGUUAAAAACAAACAAAACCAAAACAAAUAAAACCCCAUGCCAAGGAAAAGAAAAAAAAUGGACGAUUUUUGGCACCAAUACAUAAAAAAGCCUUUAGAAAUUAAAGAAUAUUCUCAACAAAAUGAAGUGGUUUACCCUUAAACGUUAUAACACACUAGAGACUAGUAGACUUUCUGUCAACUACUGUUUGUGUUUAAUCC